AGUGAACGCUGGCGGCAGGCCUAAUACAUGCAAGUCGAACAGCAGCACGGCAGAGCUUGCUCUGUGGGUGGCGAGUGGCGGACGGGUGAGGAAUACAUGGGAAUCUGCCCAGUCGUGGGGGAUAACGUAGGGAAACUUACGCUAAUACCGCAUGCGCCCUUCGGGGGAAAGCCGGGGACCUUCGGGCCUGGCGCGAUUGGAUGAGCCCAUGUCGGAUUAGCUAGUUGGCGGGGUAAUGGCCCACCAAGGCGACGAUCCGUAGCUGGUCUGAGAGGAUGAUCAGCCACACUGGAACUGAGACACGGUCCAGACUCCUACGGGAGGCAGCAGUAGGGAAUAUUGGACAAUGGGCGCAAGCCUGAUCCAGCCAUGCCGCGUGAGUGAAGAAGGCCCUCGGGUUGUAAAGCUCUUUUGUCCGGAAAGAAAAGCGCCGGGUUAAUACCCUGGUGUCCUGACGGUACCGGAAGAAUAAGCACCGGCUAACUUCGUGCCAGCA
rnacentral:rRNA from 1 species